rnacentral:rRNA from 1 species
AACGCUGGCGGCGUGCCUAAUACAUGCAAGUCGAGCGAACAGAUAAGGAGCUUGCUCCUUUGAAUUUAGCGGCGGACGGGUGAGUAACACGUGGGUAACCUACCUAUAAGACUGGGAUAACUUCGGGAAACCGGAGCUAAUACCGGAUAAUAUUUAGAACCGCAUGGUUCUAAAGUGAAAGAUGGUUUUGCUAUCACUUAUAGAUGGACCCGCGCCGUAUUAGCUAGUUGGUAAGGUAACGGCUUACCAAGGCGACGAUACGUAGCCGACCUGAGAGGGUGAUCGGCCACACUGGAACUGAGACACGGUCCAGACUCCUACGGGAGGCAGCAGUAGGGAAUCUUCCGCAAUGGGCGAAAGCCUGACGGAGCAACGCCGCGUGAGUGAUGAAGGGUUUCGGCUCGUAAAACUCUGUUAUUAGGGAAGAACAAAUGUGUAAGUAACUGUGCACAUCUUGACGGUACCUAAUCAGAAAGCCACGGCUAACUACGUGCCAGCAGCCGC